CCUACGGGAGGCAGCAGUGGGGGAUAUUGCACAAUGGGGGGAACCCUGAUGCAGCGACGCCGCGUGGGUGAAGAAGCGCCUCGGCGCGUAAAGCCCUUUCAGCAGGGAAGAAAAUGACGGUACCUGAAGAAGAAGCCCCGGCUAACUACGUGCCAGCAGCCGCGGUAAUACGGAGGGGGCAAGCGUUAUCCGGAUUUACUGGGUGGAAAGGGGGCGCAGACGGCGAUGCAAGACAGGUGUGAAAGCCCGGGGCCCAACCCCGGGACUGCUCUUGGAACUGGGAGGCUGGAGUGCAGGAGGGGCAGGCGGAAUUCCUGGUGUAGCGGUGAAAUGCGUAGAUAUCAGGAGGAACACCGGUGGCGAAGGCGGCCUGCUGGACUGCAACUGACGUUGAGGCCCGAAAGCGUGGGGAGCAAACAGGAUUAGAUACCCCGGUAGUC
rnacentral:rRNA from 1 species